rnacentral:rRNA from 1 species
UAAGGAAUAUUGCUCAAUGGGAGAAAUCCUGAAGCAGCAACGCCGCGUGGAGGAUGAAGGGUCUAUGACUUGUAAACUCCUGUAAAGAAGGAAAAAUUCCCAUUUGAUGGGAGAUGAUGGUACUUCUGGAGUAAGCCCCGGCUAACUACGUGCCAGCAGCCGCGGUAAUACGUAGGGGCAAGCGUUGUCCGGAUUUACUGGGUGUAAAGGGUGCUCAGGCGGAUUUGUAAGUCAGAGGUGAAAUCUUACAGCUUAACUGUGAAACUGCCUUUGAUACUGCAAGUAUAGAGUAUGGAAGAGAGUGAUGGAAUAUCUGGUGUAGCAGUGAAAUGCGUAGAUAUCAGAUAGAACACCAAUGGCGAAGGCAGUCACUUGGUCCAUUACUGACGCUAAAGCACGAAAGCGUGGGUAGCAAACA